rnacentral:rRNA from 1 species
UACGUAGGGUGCGAGCGUUGUCCGGAAUUAUUGGGCGUAAAGGGCUCGUAGGCGGUCUGUCGCGUCGGGAGUGAAAACUCAGGGCUUAACCCUGAGCCUGCUUCCGAUACGGGCAGACUAGAGGUAUGCAGGGGAGAACGGAAUUCCUGGUGUAGCGGUGGAAUGCGCAGAUAUCAGGAGGAACACCGGUGGCGAAGGCGGUUCUCUGGAACGCAACUGACGCUGAGACGCGAAAGCGUGGGGAGCAAACAGG